AGGUAGGAUAGUAUAGGUGUGUACGUCGGUAUGUGGCUCCGAAAGCGCUGGGUUGAAAGCUCCUAUUUA
rnacentral:tRNA from 1 species